AUACCUGGAGUGCUCGGCCCUCACCCAGAGAGGCCUGAAAACCGUCUUUGACGAGGCCAUCCGGGCCGUCCUGUGCCCUCAGCCCACGCGGCCACAGAAGCGUCCCUGCAGCAUCCUCUAGGGUUGCACCCCAGCCCUCCCACCUGGAUGGUUCUGACCCUCCAGUGUCCCCACCCCAAACCCAAUGGCAUCCCAGUUGGCCAUGCUGUCCCCUCCCUGUGGCAUUUCUUAGUAGAUGGCUGCAGAACUUGGUUGAUUAUCUUCUCAGUGUUGGGGGCCCCCUGGGGCCGGGAGGGUAUGAAUUUGCAUCCCAAUCCUUACAGGCUCCUGCCUUCCCAGGGGCUGGAGGGGAACCCCAGGACUCAGCGCCAGCUGCCGCACGUGGCAGCAUCCACUAUUUACCACAGUCCCACCCAAUGCCGGGCUCCCUCUGGAAACUCUGGGCCAGAUGGUUGCCGGCCACCAUUUGUACACCUGAAGGGAUGGGACCCUUACUCCCUCCUGAGGCAGUCUGCUCCAGUACUGAUGGUCCUGCUUGUCUGAAAGUUCUCCUUCUACUGAGCUAAAAUGAGUGUCUCAGAACUUUGCUCCUCUGGUCUUAAUUCUCCUUUUUGGGGACAACAUAAAACAAAUCAAACUCUCUAAGUCUCUGUGUGUAUCUGCCCAGCCAAUCAAAAGUCUGGGUUCUCUGACCCUGGCCAUCUCUCAAGACUCUCUGCUCAAGUUGCAGGAUCCUGAGUUUCAUUUAACUGUGAGAGCUUUAAAACCUUCAUACGCUGCCAGUCAGGACUUCUGCUAUUGCAAGUAGAAAACCCAAUUCAACCUGCUUAAGCAGAAAAUAAAUUUAUUGAUUCAAGUUUGGAACUAUCAUGGCUUCAGGUGCAGCUUGAUCAAGGGGACUCAACUGAUGUCAUCAGAGCUUGUUUUCCUGUAUCUCUUGGCUCUGCCUUCUGCUGGCUGGUUCAUUCUCAGGCAGGUGGCUCUUAGGGCUUCAUCCUUCCAGGUUCAGUCCAAAAGAACAAAUCUGUCCUCAGCAAAGUUCUAAUUAAAGUUUACCCUGAUUGGACCAGCUUAGGUCCCAGGCCCUGCUUCAACCAA